AUUGAACGCUGGCGGCAGGCCUAACACAUGCAAGUCGAGCGGAUGAAGGGAGCUUGCUCCUGGAUUCAGCGGCGGACGGGUGAGUAAUGCCUAGGAAUCUGCCUGGUAGUGGGGGAUAACGUCCGGAAACGGGCGCUAAUACCGCAUACGUCCUGAUGUAGAAAGUGGGGGAUCUUCGGACCUCACGCUAUCAGAUGAGCCUAGGUCGGAUUAGCUAGUUGGUGGGGUAAAGGCCUACCAAGGCGACGAUCCGUAACUGGUCUGAGAGGAUGAUCAGUCACACUGGAACUGAGACACGGUCCAGACUCCUACGGGAGGCAGCAGUGGGGAAUAUUGGACAAUGGGCGAAAGCCUGAUCCAGCCAUGCCGCGUGUGUGAAGAAGGUCUUCGGAUUGUAAAGCACUUUAAGUUGGGAGGAAGGGCAGUAAGUUAAUACCUUGCUGUUUUGACGUUACCAACAGAAUAAGCACCGGCUAACUUCGUG
rnacentral:rRNA from 1 species